UUUUAAAUUUAGAGUUUGAUCCUGGCUCAGGACGAACGCUGGCGGCGUGCUUAACACAUGCAAGUCGAGCGAUGAAGCUUCCUUCGGGAAGUGGAUUAGCGGCGGACGGGUGAGUAACACGUGGGUAACCUGCCUCAAAGUGGGGGAUAGCCUUCCGAAAGGAAGAUUAAUACCGCAUAAUAUAAGAGAAUUGCAUGAUUCUCUUAUCAAAGAUUUAUUGCUUUGAGAUGGACCCGCGGCGCAUUAGCUAGUUGGUAAGGUAACGGCUUACCAAGGCAACGAUGCGUAGCCGACCUGAGAGGGUGAUCGGCCACAUUGGAACUGAGACACGGUCCAGACUCCUACGGGAGGCAGCAGUGGGGAAUAUUGCGCAAUGGGGGAAACCCUGACGCAGCAACGCCGCGUGGGUGAUGAAGGUCUUCGGAUUGUAAAGCCCUGUUUUCUAGGACGAUAAUGACGGUACUAGAGGAGGAAGCCACGGCUAACUACGUGCCAGCAGCCGCGGUAAUACGUAGGUGGCGAGCGUUGUCCGGAUUUACUGGGCGUAAAGGGUGCGUAGGCGGAUGUUUAAGUGGGAUGUGAAAUCCCCGGGCUUAACCUGGGGGCUGCAUUCCAAACUGGAUAUCUAGAGUGCAGGAGAGGAAAGCGGAAUUCCUAGUGUAGCGGUGAAAUGCGUAGAGAUUAGGAAGAACACCAGUGGCGAAGGCGGCUUUCUGGACUGUAACUGACGCUGAGGCACGAAAGCGUGGGUAGCAAACAGGAUUAGAUACCCUGGUAGUCCACGCCGUAAACGAUGGAUACUAGGUGUAGGGGGUAUCAACUCCCCCUGUGCCGCAGUUAACACAAUAAGUAUCCCGCCUGGGGAGUACGGUCGCAAGAUUAAAACUCAAAGGAAUUGACGGGGGCCCGCACAAGCAGCGGAGCAUGUGGUUUAAUUCGAAGCAACGCGAAGAACCUUACCUGGACUUGACAUCCCUUGCAUAGCCUAGAGAUAGGUGAAGCCCUUCGGGGCAAGGAGACAGGUGGUGCAUGGUUGUCGUCAGCUCGUGUCGUGAGAUGUUAGGUUAAGUCCUGCAACGAGCGCAACCCUUGUUAUUAGUUGCUACCAUUAAGUUGAGCACUCUAAUGAGACUGCCUGGGUAACCAGGAGGAAGGUGGGGAUGACGUCAAAUCAUCAUGCCCCUUAUGUCCAGGGCUACACACGUGCUACAAUGGUAGGUACAAUAAGACGCAAGACCGUGAGGUGGAGCAAAACUUAUAAAACCUAUCUCAGUUCGGAUUGUAGGCUGCAACUCGCCUACAUGAAGCUGGAGUUGCUAGUAAUCGCGAAUCAGAAUGUCGCGGUGAAUACGUUCCCGGGCCUUGUACACACCGCCCGUCACACCAUGAGAGCUGGUAACACCCGAAGUCCGUGAGGUAACCGUAAGGAGCCAGCGGCCGAAGGUGGGAUUAGUGAUUGGGGUGAAGUCGUAACAAGGUAGCCGUAGGAGAACCUGCGGCUGGAUCACCUCCUUUCUA
rnacentral:rRNA from 1 species